rnacentral:misc_RNA from 1 species
AAGUCGUAACAAGGUUUCCGUAGGUGAACCUGCGGAAGGAUCAUUAACAAAUCCAUGUUGUUGUUUUGAUGACCGUCUUGAUAUGUCGUGUUUGUUCAUUCUGUUCAAAUGUAUGUAUAUCAACGAUGCAUUCAUUACAAACACACAUUAGUUCCACAUGUGUAUACAUUCGUUCAUUCGUUUUAUACACAUUGUGAUACAUUUCUACGAAUCGUCUGAUUUAUUCAUUUCAUUCAAAACAAUAACUUUUAACAAUGGAUCUCUAGGCUCUU